rnacentral:rRNA from 1 species
ACGAACGCUGGCGGCGUGCCUAAUACAUGCAAGUCGAACGCUUCUUUCCUCCCGAGUGCUUGCACUCAAUUGGAAAGAGGAGUGGCGGACGGGUGAGUAACACGUGGGUAACCUACCCAUCAGAGGGGGAUAACACUUGGAAACAGGUGCUAAUACCGCAUAACAGUUUAUGCCGCAUGGCAUAAGAGUGAAAGGCGCUUUCGGGUGUCGCUGAUGGAUGGACCCGCGGUGCAUUAGCUAGUUGGUGAGGUAACGGCUCACCAAGGCCACGAUGCGUAGCCGACCUGAGAGGGUGAUCGGCCACACUGGGACUGAGACACGGCCCAGACUCCUACGGGAGGCAGCAGUAGGGAAUCUUCGGCAAUGGACGAAAGUCUGACCGAGCAACGCCGCGUGAGUGAAGAAGGUUUUCGGAUCGUAAAACUCUGUUGUUAGAGAAGAACAAGGACGUUAGUAACUGAACGUCCCCUGACGGUAUCUAACCAGAAAGCCACGGCUAACUACGUG